GACGAACGCUGGCGGCGUGCUUAACACAUGCAAGUCGAACGGAAAGGCCCUGCUCUUGUGGGGUGCUCAAGUGGCGAAAGGGUGAGUAACACGUGAGUAACCUGCCCUUGACUUUGGGAUAACUUCAGGAAACUGGGGCUAAUACCGGAUAUGAGCACCUGCUGCAUGGUGGGGGUUGGAAAGUUUCGGUGGUUCGGGAUGGACUCGCGGCUUAGCAGCGUGUUGGUGGGGUAGUGGCUUACCAAGGCAUUGAGGGGUAGCCGGACUGAGAGGGUGACCGGCCACAUAGGGACUCGGAUGCGGCCCGGACGGAUACGGGAGGCAUCAGUGGGGGAUAUUGCACGAUGGGCGGAAGCCGUAUGCAGCGUCUCCGGGUGCGGGAUCACGGCCUUUAGGGUGUAAACCGCCUUCGCCUGUGAAGAAGAGUGAGUGACGGUAAUGGGUAAAGAAGCACCGGCUAACUACGUG
rnacentral:rRNA from 1 species